rnacentral:rRNA from 1 species
GUGAUGUACUCCUACGGGAGGCAGCAGUGGGGAAUAUUGCACAAUGGGGGAAACCCUGAUGCAGCCAUGCCGCGUGUGUGAAGAAGGCCUUCGGGUUGUAAAGCACUUUCAGUAGGGAGGAAGGUAGUGUAGUUAACACCUGCAUUAUUUGACGUUACCUACAGAAGAAGCACCGGCUAACUCCGUGCCAGCAGCCGCGGUAAUACGGAGGGUGCGAGCGUUAAUCGGAAUUACUGGGCGUAAAGCGCAUGCAGGCGGCCUGUUAAGUCAGAUGUGAAAGCCCCGGGGCUUAACCUCGGAAUUGCAUUUGAAACUGGCAGGCUAGAGUCUUGUAGAGGGGGUAGAAUUUCAGGUGUAGCGGUGAAAUGCGUAGAGAUCUGAAGGAAUACCAGUGGCGAAGGCGGCCCCCUGGACAAAGACUGACGCUCAGAUGCGAAAGCGUGGGGAGCAAACAGGAUUAGAUACCCUGGUAG